AAAUAUAUAGCUUAUACUUAAAGCACUUUAUUGAAGAUAAAAUUACCUCUUCACUCUGAA
rnacentral:tRNA from 1 species